CACCGCCCGUCACACCAUGAAAGCUGUUUGUACCAGAAGUCGAUGUGCUAACCGUAAGGAGGCAGUCGCCCGAGGUAUGAAGAGUGAUUGGGGUG
rnacentral:rRNA from 1 species